CCUGCCUGGUCCUUGCAUCCUGAGGCAUGGCAUAUUGGUGAUCUAUGCUGCGUAUGGCACCACCACACACCACACAGCACAAGCAGAUGGCAGACACCCACUCAUCACCUCACGGGUUCCCUGGCCCAGAGCCGGCUGUGUUCUCGUCUGAGGGCUCCACGAGGGAGGGACCCAUUUCCAGGCUCAUCCCAGCAGCGGGCAGAAAUAUUUCCUUGUGGUUAUGGGACUGAGGUCCCAUGUUCUCGGGGCUGUCAGUCCGGAGCCACUCUUGGCUCCUAGGGGCCCCCACCGUCCUCUGCCCUGGAGGCGUCUCUGCUGGGCAGCUUGCUUCCUCCGGGCAGCAGGAGACUGUACCACUCCAGCCGUCGGAGACGUGUCUUCAUAACAUGUGAGCAAGGGAGUGACUCGCCUGCCACCUGUAUCAUACGCUGCUGGUCGGAUGCAAAUCUCAGGGCAGGUGGUCACACAGGGGGGUGACUUGGGGUCACCUUGGCAUGUGCCUGCCACUCCCAGGAGCACCCCCAGACAUCAAGCUUUGGGAAACUCUGCCAGGAUCUGGGAGGCAGCCGCCAGUGCUGUGUGAGUGGGGAGCGUGGUCACAGGGUGGGGGCGGGACUGGAAGUGGCCACGGGGAUGGACACAGAAGAGCCACCCCCAGGCUCCCAGGGCCCCGAGGACACAGCAGGAGCUUCAUCUACACGGGUGGGGGACGGCGGCUCGGGGCCUUGAUUCAGGUGCUGGGGCCCCUUCUGUCCCUGUCCCUGCCCUGAGGACUGUUGGGGUCAACCCUGGCUGAGUGUGGACAUUGCUGGUUCAGCGGAUACCCUGAGUGCCGAGGCCAGGCGCAGGCAGCAGAUGGCACGGUGAUGUCAGGGAAGGGCGGCAGGACCCUCAGCUGCGUGUUGGGUCCCUACAUGUCAAGGGUUUAUUGCCUGGUCUCUGGCGCAUGUGUCUUCUACGAAGUCAGACAAGAUGCUUGCUGCUUUCUGACCAUCAGGACCAACUGAUGUCAUCAGCAGGGACACCAGUGCCGUGGCCCUGGGACCUCCAGGCCACCGUGCCAGGAAUCCCUGCACCUGCUGCUCUGGGCCCAGCCUCAGCCUUGUCACAGGGUGCUGCUCUGGCUUUCCUCUCCUGGGUGAGAGAAGCUCCAGGGGCGUCUGCUGUCUCUCCCCACCCCAACAGGUGUCAUUCUGUGGGUUUGGGGCCAACGUGGGGAUUCUCCCAAUGGCCAGCUGUGUCCAGUCCAAUCAUGCAUUCCGGGACUGUGGACAUGACUCAGGCCACAGAGUUCACGUGGAAGUGGACGUGGCCACAGGUGUUGCUGUCCUCUGGACUGCAGGCCGCACGGGGCUCUGGGUCCCCAGGAAGCAGAUCGGCACAGAGCCUGCUCUCAGAUGGCCCGGCUGGAUCCCUGCUGUCGAGCACAGCCUGCUGCAGACCUGGUUGGGGCUGGUGCAGGGGAAGCAUCCAAGUUCCUCGUUGUGAGUGUGUAGGGGACCUUCCUGAGGGCUCCAGGACCCUGGGAAGAGCAGCCUGGCUGGUGCAGAAGCUGAGGAAGCGGCUGAGACUCCUUGUGGUGACGCCACAAGUGAAGCUUCUGGUGAGCAGACACGGAGGAGACCUGCCCUGUAGGUCGAUCUCCACUUCACUAGGCCUUCCAUCUGAUGGAUCCCAGAGACCCUGAUCAAUCAGCCACAACUAAAGCGCAUGUCGAGCUAAACCUCCCAAUGAUCACUCCGUCCCCACUGCCCAUGACAGCUCUUGUCCUCAACUGGCCAGCAGCAGAGAAACCCCACCUGGCCACCGCCACUCCCUAACCUGUCAUUCUCACUAGGCCCAGGGGCCCACCCUAGGGACUGCGGUCAGCUGCAAAUGCCUCCACCUCGCCCCUCGCCAAGAUAACCCUCCUAAGCCCUGGAGCCCUGAUAGUUACCUGAUACUGCGAGGUCCACGCAGGGGUGAUAAUGUGCAGGAUCCUGAGAUGGGGGGAUAUCUGGACGACCCUGGAGGGCCCUAAAUUCCAUCACAAGUGUCCUCAUCAGAGAGUCGCAGAGGAGACGUGGCCACACCCUGAGGAGACCCGUGUGGGACGGGGUGGUGAUUGGAAGAUGCUGGUCUUGAAGACCGGAGCGAGGCAUCCACAAACCUAGGAAUGUUGGUGCCCCCGGAAGCUGGGAGAGGUCGGGAAGGAUUCCGUACUGGAGCUUCCAGAGGGAGCGCCCUGAUUUCCACCCAGUGAGGCUGACUUUGGACUUCCUGCUUUCGUGAGUGUGAGAUAGUAAAUGUGUGUUGUUUUAAGCCCCCUGGUCUGUGGUGAUUUGUCUCCGCAUCCCCGGGAAACGAAUCCAAGGAGGCCU